GCCCGCCUAGCUCAAUCGGAUAGAGCGUCAGACUUUUAAGCCUGUGCGAGGUGGUGAUAAAUCUGAAGGCUGCGAGUUCGACCCUCGCGGUGGGCU